ensembl:snoRNA SNORD82 Small nucleolar RNA SNORD82
AGCACAAAUGAUGAUUCUAAGGGACUUAAUACUGAAGCAUGAUGUCAUUUUAAGCAGAAACUGAUGUGC